rnacentral:rRNA from 1 species
CGUAGGGAAACCGAGUCUUAACUGGGCGAAUGAGUUGCAGGGUAUAGACCCGAAACCCGGUGAUCUAUCCAUGGGCAGGUUGAAGGUUGGGUAACACUAACUGGAGGACCGAACCGACUAAUGUUGAAAAAUUAGCGGAUGACUUGUGGAUGGGGGUGAAAGGCCAAUCAAACCGGGAGAUAGCUGGUUCUCCCCGAAAGCUAUUUAGGUAGCGCCUCGUGAACUCAUCUUCGGGGGUAGAGCACUGUUUCGACUAGGGGGUCAUCCCGACUUACCAACUCGAUGCAAACUGCGAAUACCGAAGAAUGUUAUCACGGGAGACACACGGCGGGUGCUAACGUCCGUCGUGAAGAGGGAAACAACCCAGACCGCCAGCUAAGGUCCCAAAGUCAUGGUUAAGUGGGAAACGAAGUGGGAAGGCUCAGACAGCCAGGAUGUUGGCUUAGAAGCAGCCAUCAUUUAAAGAAAGCGUAAUAGCUCACUGGUCGAGUCGGCCCGCGCGGAAGAUGUAACGGGGCUAAACCAUGCACCGAAGCUGCGGCAGCGACACAAAGUGUUGUUGGGUAGGGGAGC